rnacentral:rRNA from 1 species
AUUGAACGCUGGCGGCAUGCUUUACACAUGCAAGUCGAACGGCAGCGCGGGCUUCGGCCUGGCGGCGAGUGGCGAACGGGUGAGUAAUACAUCGGAACGUGCCCAGUAGUGGGGGAUAGCUCGGCGAAAGCCGGAUUAAUACCGCAUACGACCUGAGGGUGAAAGCGGGGGAUCUUCGGACCUCGCGCUAUUGGAGCGGCCGAUGGCAGAUUAGCGAGUUGGUGGGGUAAAGGCCUACCAAGGCGACGAUCUGUAGCUGGUCUGAGAGGACGACCAGCCACACUGGGACUGAGACACGGCCCAGACUCCUACGGGAGGCAGCAGUGGGGAAUUUUGGACAAUGGGCGAAAGCCUGAUCCAGCAAUGCCGCGUGUGUGAUGAAGGCCUUCGGGUUGUAAAGCACUUUUGGCGGGAACGAAAAGGACUGUGCCAAUACCACGGUUCGAUGACGGUACCCGCAGAAUAAGCACCGGCUAACUACGUG